GCUGAAUUGGUGAAAUGGUAUCACACGACAAUGGUAAUGUCGUAUUAACAGUUCAAUUCUGUUAUUCAGCA
rnacentral:tRNA from 1 species